ncrna:Eptesicus fuscus (big brown bat) microRNA efu-mir-9201a precursor (efu-mir-9201a-3)
AGACCUGAAGAGAGAGGCAGGGUCUGAUCCUCAGCUUCUGUGGCAGCUGUUGAUCAGCUGUUGCCUCUCUCUUUCUCUCCA